GCUCCUAUAGCUCAGUUGGUAGAGCGCGGCACUAGUACCCUGCCAAUGCCGAGGUCUACGGUUCAAAUCCGUAUGGGAGCA